AUUUCUUUCUGGUUUACACUCCAACAUAGUAGGUGGCAAUAAUGCACUUUAACGCUGGUUGCCAUAAACCGGAAAAAAGAAGACGACGAUGACACAGUAACUAGUUAGCUACUACCACUGUUGUGAGGCCACAACUGCCGCGGAAAAUCAUGUUGGAGAUGAAAGACGAGAGCAAGACACUCUACCCGCACCCGAAAAAGUUAUCCUGGCACUGUGGGAAUUUUUUGGAUUCUCUAAAAAAGACAAUGUGUUGGUAGACAUGUGUUGGAUUAAGGUCUUAGUUGUGUUGUUAUUUAAGUCAGUGGAGAAAAGAAAAGCAGACAUGGCUAGUGCAAGGCAGGAUUAAGCCAUUACUAAAUCAUUGGCCUACUUCAUAGCAAAGGACAUGAUGUCCUUUAGAUCUGUAGAGAGGCCAACCUUUAAAGCACUGAUGGAAACAGUUGCUCCAAAAUACAAAAUCCCAAGAAGACAACAAUUUUCAGAUAAAGAAAUCCCAAACAUGUACCUAAAAGUAAGAGCUGACAUUGUCAGCUCCUACAACUGAUCCCUGGACCAGCAAUACUAGACACCCCUACGUGAGCUUAACAGCUCACUUCAUCACACCAGCAUGGGAAAUGAAAGCCGCAUGUCUAGAGACUGCUUUUUUACCUGACGACCAAACAAGUGAAAACAUUAAACAGACAUUUGAAAAUCUAAUAUAAGAGAGGGGAAUUGACCAGACAGCAGUCAUGUGUGUCACUACUGACAUUACUGGAUCAGCUGCUUUGGACAUAAUUUAAAUCUUAUACUUGGAAAGCCCUGAAGAUUGACCACGUGGAUGCAGCUGUGAGGGCUUGCAGGAGUGUCAUCCAGAGAUUUAACCAUUCACAGAAGAGAAGGAGGGAGCUGGCAAAAAAGCAAGCAGAACUAAAUCUCCUCCAACAUACCUUGAUCCAAGAUGUUGUGACUUGAUGGGGGUCCACAUAUGACAUGAUUUCCAGGUUUGUUGAUCAGUAUACUGCAGUGGCAGCUACUCUCAUGGAUGACAGAAGUACCAGGCACCUUGUGCAUACAUUUCUACUCUUGAGGACACAUGUAAGAUGCUGAAGUCACUCAGGACCUUUAGUGAUUCCCUGGCUGCAGAGACCUGUAUCAUAACCUCCUCCCUGAGACCUGUCCUUCAGCAUUAGACUGAAUCCAUUCUUACAGAAGAGGAUGACUACAGCAGCCUGGUGAGGAGCAUGAAAUGCGCCAUCCACAAGAACUUACAAGAGUGGUAUAAAGAUUCAGAUCUGGCUACAGUGAUGAACAUGGCCUGUGUAAUGGACCCGCAGUUCAAGUUGAACUUCAUGGAAGAGGCUGACUCAAUCCCAGCAAUCAAAAGACAGCUAGAGCAAUAGGUCACACAGGAGUCUUCUGCCAGGGAAGGUAGCUCUCACUCUCUCUCACAGAAGUCUUCACAGGAGUCAGAGGACAAUGUGAAGAGGAGGGGACCAGCAUCUCCAGCCCUGAGGCCUUGCCUGGUAUUCUCAAAAUGGUAACAAUGAAAAAACAAUCAGCAGACACAGUGAAACAAACAGCAGUCCUGGAAGUUUCUACAUACACAUCCAUGCUUGUCAUUCCUGUGGAUAAAGAUCCACUGCAAUGGUGGCAAUGGAGUUUCCAAGGUUGGCAAAACUAGCACGGAAGGUCCUUUGUAUUCCUGCCACCAAUGUCACUUCAGAAAGACUUUUCAGUUCUUCGGGGAAUAUUCAGACAGUGUUUCACUCCAGCUUGAAACCUGAUAAACUAAACAUGCUUGUGUUCCUUCAUAAAAAUUUGCCAUAGACAGAGAAUGUGAAAAAUGAUAAUAGGAAAAAAAUAUGUAAGGACAUGGUCAGUGGACAUUACAUCACAGUAUAUCAGAGUGGUUAGUUGUCAGCUUGUGGUCUUGCAAGUGAUUUUAACAAAACUACAAACCUGGAGAUACCUGUAGAAAUGGGAGUGUAGAAUGUCAUAUUGUUGUGCCAUUUUUUCAAAAGGGAUGAAAUUAUUGUCUUGAUAGAGAUCCCAUACACAUCUGAAUCCCUUCCUGAACCACAGUUGGAAGGCAGAGUCUAGGAGAGAAGGUGGGAAUAGGGCAUUGGCUGUAAUAGGCAGUAAAGGCAGUGCCUGUUUAAACUUGAAGUGGGACCUAAACUGAGGCCAUAUUUUCAAAAUGGGUUUUGUCAGGUUUUUCUUGCUCAGAGGUAGGGCAGUGCAGAGCAUAGAUGUUAAAGACACCAGACAACACAAAGCCUGUGCCAUCUCAGCCCAUACUGGUCCAAUACCAUGGUAAAAUUGUGAUACCCAAUAAACCACCCUGUGAAUAUUGGAAGCCCAAUAAUAUUGUAAAACGUUUGGCAAUGCCAAUCUCCCUUUUACCUUCUGUCUCUCCAGAUAUGAUUUACGAAUCCUUGGGAUGGAUCUGUUCCAGAUAAAAGAAUGAAAUGAAACGAAAUGCAGUUGUCCAGUUCUUUAAAAAAAAGAUUUUGUGAUAAAAACAGGUAUUGUUAAUACCCAUGUCAAAAAGAAGUGGGGACAAAUGACACCCCUGUCUGGUACCACGGCACAGGGCAAAAUGAUUAGAGACAAUUUUGUUUGUUCUAAUACAGACCUUUGGUGACGCAUAUAGGAUCUCAAUCUAAGAACAAAAAGUCAAGCCAAAGCCAAAUUUAUUUACAGCUGUGAACAAAUAGUUAUAUAUUAUUUGGUCAAAUGCUUUGUGGGCAUCGAGAGAGAUUCACCUCCAGAGACAAUGAUCCAGACAUAUAGAGAAUGUUAAAUAAUUUGUACAAAAUACCAAAAAGCCCCAAGAUAAAUCCUGUUAAAUUAAGAUGUAUUAUAGAGUUCAUGGCCUUAUUAAAACUAACUGCAAGGACCUUUGUUAGAAUCUUAUAGUUGCUUGAGACCAAACUUACAGGUCUGAUUAGCACGUCAGAGGAGGAUCCUCUGCCUGUUUUAUGUAGAAAUGAAAUUAUAGCUUCCGUCAUAGUUGGCAGUAAUGACUUCUUCUCAAAUGUAUCUGUAAACACCUCACUUAGGA